AGUCGUAACAAGGUUUCUGUAGGUGAACCUGCAGAAGGAUCAUUAGUGAAGAUUUGGGCAGGCCAUACGGAUUACCAAACUUGUGUGUCCCUGGCCGCCUACCCACUAUACAUCCACAAACCCGUGUGCACUGUAGAAGGACCUGGGGAGGAAGAGGACAGCGCGGUCCCACGCGCUGGGCUUGUUUCUCUCGGGUUUUUCUUCGCUAUAAACUCGAAUGGUUAGUAUGAACGUGGAACUUGGUUGGACCGUAACUGGCCAACAAACUAUACACAACUUUCGACAACGGAUCUCUUGGUUCUCCCAUCGAUGAAGAACGCAGCGAAACGCGAUAGGUAAUGUGAAUUGCAGAAUUCCGUGAAUCAUCGAAUCUUUGAACGCACCUUGCGCUCUAUGGCAAUCCGUAGAGCAUGCCUGUUUGAGUGCCAUGAAAUCUCCCACCACAAGCGGUUUUUAUGAAACGGCUUGGCGGACGGGGUCUUGAUGGGCGCCGCUGCCUGUGCUUGACCACAGGCUCGCCCGAAAUGCAUGAGCGGCUUGGGACACUUUGCAUCCGCCUCUCUUGUUGGGAGGAGGCGGCCAAGCAGUGUUUCUCCUGGCAUAGCAUGAUACGUCAUUUGCUAUGUCGCCUAAUGGAGGAUGUUUGGUUGUGUCUGCGUGUGCUUGACUGCCUCUGUGCACAUCCCAAUUUCACUUCUGGUCUCAAAUCAGGUAGGAUCACCCGCUGAACUUAAGCAUAUCAAUAAGCAAGUCG
rnacentral:rRNA from 1 species